UACGGAGGAUGCAAGCGUUAUCCGGAUUCAUUGGGCUUAAAGGGUGCGUAGGCGGGGCGGUAAGUCAGUGGUGAAAGCCUGCAGCUUAACUGUAGAAUUGCCAUUGAUACUGUCGCUCUUGAAUGCGGUUGAGGCAGGCGGAAUGUGUAAUGUAGCGGUGAAAUGCGUAGAUAUUACGCAGAACACCGAUUGCGUAGGCAGCUUGCUAAACCGUGAUUGACGCUGAGGCACGAAAGCGUGGGGAGCAAACAGG
rnacentral:rRNA from 1 species